CCUACGGGUGUCAGCAGUGGGGAAGAUUGCACAAUGGGGGAAACCCUGAUGCAGCAACGCCGCGUGAGUGAAGAAGGUUUUCGGAUUGUAAAGCUCUGGUAGCAGGGAAGAGGAAGGACGGUACCUGCAGAGGAAGCCACGGCUAACUACGUGCCAGCAGCCGCGGUAAUACGUAGGUGGCAAGCGUGGUUCGGAAUCACUGGGCGUAAUGGAUGCGUAGGCGGUUAAACAAGUUAUAUGUUAAAUAUAUAGGCUUAACCUGUAGAAAGCAUAUAAAACUGUUUAACUAGAGUGCAGGAGAGGUAAGUGGAAUUCCUUGUGUCGCGGUGAACUGUGUAGCGAUUAGGAAGAACACCAGUGGCGAAGGCGACUUACUGGACUGUACCUGACGCUGAGGCAUG
rnacentral:rRNA from 1 species